rnacentral:rRNA from 1 species
GAUGAACGCUGGCGGUAUGCCUAACACAUGCAAGUCGUACGAGAGUUUUUAACUCUAGUGGCGGACGGGUGAGUAACACGUGAGAAUUUGCCUUUAGGAGGGGGACAACAAUUGGAAACGAAUGCUAAUACCCCAUAUGCUUUCGAGUGAAAUGGAUUUUAUCCGCCUAGAGAGAAGUUCGCGGCUGAUUAGCUUGUUGGUAAGGUAAGAGCUUACCAAGGCGACGAUCAGUAUCUGGUUUGAGAGGACGAUCAGACACACUGGAACUGAGACACGGUCCAGACUCCUACGGGAGGCAGCAGUAGGGAAUAUUGGGCAAUGGUCGCAAGACUGACCCAGCCAUGCCGCGUGCAGGAAGACGGCCCUCUGGGUUGUAAACUGCUUUUAUCUGGGAAGAAAAAGUCCAUGCGUGGAAAAUUGCCGGUACCAGAUGAAUAAGCACCGGCUAACUCCGUG